ACAUCAUUGAGGAUCAAUGGGGAUACUGUGGAUAGGGUGAGCUGUUUUAAAUAUCUGGGAGUCCACAUCUCUGAGGAUAUGACAUGGACAUCACACGCCGCAGCACUCGUGAGUAAGGCAAGGCAGCGCCUUUACCACCUCAGGCAAUUGAGGAAAUUCAGAGUGUCUCCGAGGAUCCUCCAAUGCUUCUACGCAGCGGCUGUGGAAAGCAUCUUGUCCGGAAAUAUUACCAUCUGGUUUGGGAGUUGCUCUGCCCAGGACAAGAAGGCUCUGCAGAGAGUAGUGCGUUUGGCCGAACGCACUAUGGGAACUUCACGCCCUCCUGCAGGAACUAUACAUCAGGAGGUGCAACUCCAGAGCUAAUAAAAUCAUGGGAGACCCCUUCCACCCCAGCAACGGUCUGUUCCAGCUGCUACGGUCAGGCAAACGCCUCCGUUGCCAUGCUGUGAGAACGGGGAGGUUGAGAAGGAGUUUCUUCCCAGAGGCCAUUAGGACUGUAAACUCCUAUCUCACCAGGGACUAACUUUUACUGCACCACUACUGCUUUUUUUAAAAUUGCUGUUUUUUUCCCUUUUUCUUUCCGCCCACAAUAUUUAAUAUGUAAAAGAAUAUGUGAUUCUGUUCCAUUCUUUUAUAGUUUGUUUGGUUGCUUGUUUGUUUGUCUUUUUGCACAAAGUCCGCGAGCAUUGCCACUUUUCAUUUCACUGCACAUCUCGUAUGUGUAUGUGACGAAUAAACUUGACUUGACUUGACUUGAUAUUCCAAUGAUCGCAAAGGUGUGCGAGCGUCUGCAGAGAGUGGUGGACUUAGCCCAGUCCAUCACUGGCAGAGCUCUCCCCACCAUCGAAAGUAUCUACAUAAGGUGCUGCCUCAGGAAGGCGGCACCUAUCAUCAAAGAUCCCCACCAUCCAGUGAUGCCCUCUUCUUGUUGUUGCCAGUGGGUGGGAGAUACAGCAGACUGAAUUCCCAUCCCACCAGCUUCAAGAACAGCUACAUUCCUACAACCAUCAAAUUCUUGAGCCAACCUGCACAACCCUAAUCCUACCUCACCUGCGGAACACUGCAGACCACCUCUUGCACUACCAACAACUUGUUUUUCUAAUUGUAUUUUGUACUAAUAUUUCGUUCUUGCACAAUCUUUCUAUUUUAACUGUAGAAUUUGUCGUAUUCCCUGAGGUCAUAUUCCUGUAAUGUUGUUGCAAGCAAGAUUGUUACUGCAUCCGCACCUCACUGUACUUAUGCAUACUGUAUAACAAUAAACUCACUGCUCUAUAUUCAUAUAACAAUAAACUCAAUAUAACAAUAACUAAAUUUUGCUUGGUUUGAUUUAAUAGAAUAGGGUGAUACUGCCUGUAUUUGUAUGCUACCGUUAAAACUGAGCAUGACAAAGUAUCUCACAUUUUUGGUCAUUUAUUGGAGACCCUCGGACUAUCUUUGAUCAAACUUUAUUGGUUUUAUCUUGCACUAAACGCUAUUCACGUUAGUCCCUUUAUCAUGUAUUUUCACACUGUGAAUGGUUCGAUCGUAAUAACGUAUCGUCUUUCCGCUGACUGGAUUGCAAUGCAACCAAAGCAUUUCACUUUACCUCGGUACAAGUACACAUAUUCAAACUUGUCAACAUUCUCACUUCUGAGUUAGAAAGUCAUGGAUUCUAGUUUCAUUCCAGAAUCUGACCUCUAAACUCUUGGCUGGCAAUGCAGUGCAGUGCUGCAUGGUGCCCUGCUGGAGAUACAGACCUCCAAAUUAAACAUUAGACCUUGCUCCUACCUGCUCUCUCUGGUGGUCCUAGUUUGGGGUAGAGUUUGGGAGUAAAAGCCUGAGCAAUAUUUAUCCUUUAAACAGCACCACACAAAGAAACAGAUGAUCUCACUGUAAAAGUAAGUGCAAUUCACAAGUACUUCUUUGGGUGACAAUUGCAUUGGGACAUUCUGUGGUUGUGAAAUGCCCUAUAAAAAAUGAACAUCUUUCUUCCUUGCAAAUAAUUUUGAGAUAGCUGAAAAUUGACCCUUUCCAUUCCUUGCCUACUUUCUCCAUUAUAUUUAACCCUUGAUUUGAUUUACAUAGCUUUCUUCACAACACCUGCCGCACAUCAUCAAGCAAUUUACUUUAGACUUCAGAGAUACAACGCGGAAACAGGCCCAUUAGCUCACCGAGUCUGUGCCGAUCAGCAAUCACCCCGUACGCUCAUUUUACAGAAGCCAAUCAACCUACGUCUUUGAAGUGUGGGAGGAAACCCACGUGGUCAAAGGGAGAACGUAUAAACUCCACAUAGACAGCACCCACAGUCAGAAUUGAACCCGGGUCUCUGUUGCUGUAAUGUGUGCACUGCGCCACUGUGCUGCCACAAUUCUGCCUCGUUUCGCAGCUGACCUUUCUGCAAUGGCCAUUCAAGAAUAAGCCCGUCCUCAGUGAUGGUGAAGCAGGGUACUUGAGUGCUGAAGACAAGAUUGAAGGAUUCACAAUCAUGUUCAGCCAAAUGUGAAGAUGAUUAAUUUGGCUUCCUCCGAAGAUCCACAUCAUCAGUGGACCAUUGUCAGUAAAUUUUAAUAAAUAGCAAAGGGCCUGUCCCACUUGGGCGCCAUAAUACAUUAUUCAUUAUUUUGGAUGAUGUAAUAAUUUCUAGGGUGGCACAGUGGAGCAGCAGUAGAGUUGCUGCCUUACAAUGCCAGAGACCCAGCUUCCAUCCUGAAUAUUGGUGCUGUCUGUAUGGAGUUUGUAUGUUCCCCCUGUGACUGUGUGGGUUUUCUCCGGCAUGCUCUGGUUUCCUCCCACACUCCAAAGACGUAUAGGUGUGUACGGGGUGUGUGCAGGGCAAUCGCUGGUCAGCGCGGACUUAAUAGGCUGAAGGGCAUGUAUCCCUGCUGUAUCUCUAACAUCUAAAAGUCUAAUGUUUGAAGUAGCACAGUGCUGCUCUGAGAUGGUUGACCUCUGACAACCACAACCAUUUUCCUUUGUACAAGAUGUGACUUCAACCUGAUGUUUCAGGUUCUAUCUUGAUCUUGGAUGUUGUGUGUGUGUGGAGAUUAUACAUUCCACAUUGACCACGUGGGUUCCUCUGAAUGCACUGGUUUCUUCCGCCAUCCCAAAGACAUGGGGGAGUUUGUAGGUUAAUUGGUCUGUAAAUUGCCCCUCGUGUGUAGGGAGUGAAUGUGUAAAUGGAACAACAUAGAACUAGUGUGAAUGGGUGAUCGAUGAUAAAUGUGGACUCGUGGGCUGGAAGGCCUGUUUUCCAUGCUGCAUCUUUGAACUCAGUUCAAUUCUUACCCUGUACUUACGGCCUUAAAAAAAUUGUUGAUUUCAGUAUAAAACCAUGGAUGCCUGGACGUGAGUCAGUCACUCUGGAAGAUCGCGAGGGAGAGUCCACAACUGUGGUUCUAAGCUGUGAAUCAACUGAACUAACCCACCUUGAUCUACUUCCAAUGCUGGUGACUCAUAUUCCUAUCGGCCCAAAGCAUUUCAUAUAUUUUCUAUAUUUAAAGCCUCAGAGCACAAGGUUGGAGACUACAGUUGGUGACGCUGGUGUGGACAAUUUAUGACGGCAUAAAACGAAUAGUUGGCAAUGUUAAAAUCAAACAUUUAAAAUGGGGCGAUUGCCACACUAAAUAUUUGGUCAAACUUAACACAAAGAACAUUUUAGCCAAUGCUUCUCUGAUGACCCUGUCAGAAAUGUUUUAAUGAGGUAAAAUGCAUGCUGCUGUGGGAGUCUGGAACAACGAGAUCUAAAUUGUACUUCACAGGAUACCGUCAGUCCAACCUGCAAUCAAUUGUACUCAUUGAUUAUUAAAGAUGCUCCUCAUGUUAUAAUAAUUUGACUGCUGUCGUGUGGCUGGUUGCUACGUUAUAUCAAAGUGGCUUCCACUGUGUGUUCAGAAACAGACUGCAACCCAAAUUCAAAGUACAAAAGGUAACCAAGAGCUCCCAUUUCCGUCUGAGAAAGUCAAUAUCAUGCUUCAUCGUAACCAAGGGAAGUAAAAUCUGGAGGUUGAGGGGAGACCCGACUGAAAUAUAAAAUUAUGAGAGGCAUAUAUAUGGUAGACAAUCAGAACCCUUUUCCCAGGGUGGAAUAUAUCAAGGCCUAGAGGUUUUAAUUUUAAAGUGAGAGGGACCAAGUUUAAAGGAG